CCCGCUGAACUUAAGCAUAUCAAUAAGCGGAGGAAAAGAAACCAACAGGGAUUGCCCUAGUAACGGCGAGUGAAGCGGCAACAGCUCAAAUUUGAAAUCUGGCCUCGGCCCGAGUUGUAAUUUGCAGAGGAUGUUUCUGGCGCGGUGCCUUCCGAGUUCCCUGGAACGGGACGCCACAGAGGGUGAGAGCCCCGUAUGGUUGGACACCAAGCCUGUGUGAAACUCCUUCGACGAGUCGAGUAGUUUGGGAAUGCUGCUCUAAAUGGGAGGUAAAUCUCUUCUAAAGCUAAAUACCGGCCAGAGACCGAUAGCGCACAAGUAGAGUGAUCGAAAGAUGAAAAGCACCUUGAAAAGGGGGUUAAACAGUACGUGAAAUUGUUGAAAGGGAAGCGCUCAUGACCAGACUUGUGCCGGGCGGUUCAUCCGGGGUUCUCCCCGGUGCACUCCGCCCGGCUCAGGCCAGCAUCGGUUCUCGUUGGGGGAUAAGAACGGUAGGAACGUGGCCCUCCCUCGGGAGGGUGUUAUAGCCUGCCGUACGAUACCCUGAUGGGGACCGAGGUUCGCGCUCCGCAAGGAUGCUGGCGUAAUGGUCAUCAGCGACCCGUCUUGAAACACGGACCAAGGAGUCGUCCAUUAGAGCGAGCGUUUGGGUGUAAAACCCGCACGCGUAAUGAAAGUGAAAUUAGGUGAGAGCUUCGGCGCAUCAUCGACCGAUCCUGAUGUUCUCGGAUGGAUUUGAGUAAGAGUUUUAACGGACGGACCCGAAAGACAGUGAACUAUGCUUGUAUAGGGUGAAGCCAGAGGAAACUCUGGUGGAGGCUCGCAGCGGUUCUGACGUGCAAAUCGAUCGUCAAAUAUGAGCAUGGGGGCGAAAGACUAAUCGAACUGUCUAGUAGCUGGUUACCGCCGA
rnacentral:rRNA from 1 species